GAUGAACGCUAGCGGGAGGCCUAAUACAUGCAAGUCGAGCGGUCUCGUCACUUGUGACGAGAUAGCGGCAGACGGGUGCGUAACGCGUAUGAAACUUACCCUACACAGGAGGAUAGCCUUGGGAAACUGAGAGUAACCCUCCAUAGUCUUGAGAUACCGCAUGGUAUUUUAAGUAAAACUUCGGUGGUGUAGGAUAGUCGUGCGUCCGAUUAGCUAGUUGGUGAGGUAAUGGCUCACCAAGGCGACGAUCGGUAGCUGGUCUGAGAGGAUGAUCAGCCACACGGGCACUGAGACACGGGCCCGACUCCUACGGGAGGCAGCAGUAAGGAAUAUUGGACAAUGGACGGAAGUCUGAUCCAGCCAUCCCGCGUGGAGGAAUAAGGCCCUAUGGGUUGUAAACUGCUUUUGUAUGGGAGCAAUAAGGUCUAUGCGUAGACUGAUGAGAGUACCAUACGAAUAAGCAUCGGCUAACUCCGUGCCAGCAGCCG
rnacentral:rRNA from 1 species